UUCCCCUAGUAACUGCGAGUGAAGCGGGAAAAGCUCAAAUUUAAAAUCUGGUAGUCNUUGGCUGCCCGAGUUGUAAUCUAGAGAAGCGUUAUCCGCGCUGGACCGUGUAUAAGUCUCCUGGAAUGGAGCGUCAUAGAGGGUGAGAAUCCCGUCUUUAACACGGACUCCCAGGGCUUUGUGAUGCGCUCUCAAAGAGUCGAGUUGUUUGGGAAUGCAGCUCUAAAUGGGUGGUAAAUUCCAUCUAAAGCUAAAUAUUGGCGAGAGACCGAUAGCGAACAAGUACCGUGAGGGAAAGAUGAAAAGAACUUUGGAAAGAGAGUUAAACAGUACGUGAAAUUGUUGAAAGGGAAACGCUUGAAGUCAGUCGCGUUGGUCAGGGAUCAACCUUGCUUUUGCUUGGUGUACUUCCUGGUUAACGGGUCAGCAUCAAUUUUGACCAGUGGAAAAAGGUCAGGGGAAUGUGGCAUCUUCGGAUGUGUUAUAGCCUCUGGUCAUAUACAUUGGUUGGGAUUGAGGAACUCAGCACGCCGCAAGGCCGGGUUUUUACCACGUUCGUGCUUAGGAUGCUGGCAUAAUGGCUUUAAUCGACCCGUCUUGAAACACGGACCAAGGAGUCUAACAUGCCUGCGAGUGUUUGGGUGGAAAACCCAUGCGCGUAAUGAAAGUGAAAGUUGGGAUCCCUGUCGUGGGGAGCACCGACGCCCGGACCAGACCUUCUGUGACGGAUCCGCGGUAGAGCAUGUAUGUUGGGACCCGAAAGAUGGUGAACUAUGCCUGAAUAGGGUGAAGCCAGAGGAAACUCUGGUGG
rnacentral:rRNA from 1 species